UACGUAGGGUGCAAGCGUUGUCCGGAAUUAUUGGGCGUAAAGAGCUCGUAGGCGGUUUGUCGCGUCUGCUGUGAAAACUCGGGGCUUAACCCCGGGCCUGCAGUGGGUACGGGCAGACUAGAGUGCGGUAGGGGAGACUAGAAUUCCUGGUGUAGCGGUGAAAUGCGUAGAUAUCCGGAAGAACACCGGUGGCGAAGGCGGCCUGCUGGGCAGUGGCUGACGCUGAGGCGCGACAGCGUGGGGAGCAAACAGG
rnacentral:rRNA from 1 species